rnacentral:sRNA from 1 species
CUCCACAAAAGGUACCUUCAGGACAGGCUGGGACUGCUGGGCUUGGGAACCAUCUUGGAAGGGCCUAGGUUCCCACUUAUACCCUUGCCAUCUAGCAGACUGAGUUGGUAGUACAGGGAUGGCAAUAGCAAGUUCAGAGAGCAGCUUAAUAUGCUAGGGGUGGCAGAGGGGAGAGGGAGCUUUGGUGAAAUGUCUAUAGUCAGAGGGGUAGUAAACAGGGCAUCUGAGAAGUUCUUUCAAGUUCUCCCCCAUCCAUAGGGAUACACAUGUUUUGGUGGGAAGAUUCAUGAGUGCUAAUCACUGGCGAGUCUUUCCUGGGUUCCACUUUGAAAUGUUGGCUCCCGAAGAAGUACCAGAGAAAUUAACUUUGAGCCCCUUAAACCUUGGAGUAGAGAUCGCACACCCAGCUGCCCCCAAGGGCCCAAAGGUAACAAAAAUGAGAAAAGUGGGCCAGAUAUGGGCCAUGGCAGACCUGAGAGCGCAUACGCUGGUUGAUGGGGGCCAUUAGUCUGUUCCCAUCAAUUGCUGCUAUUUAGGAACCCAAAUCUGUCUCCAGAUUUUUUUAAAGAAAAAAAACAAACAGGUGUUGUAUAUAAAAUGUCAUGACUUUUAUUUUUAUUUUAUUUUAUUAUUUAUUUAUUUUGAGAUGGUGUCUUGCUCUGUCCCCCAGGCUGGAGGGCAGUGACACGAUCUUGGCUCACUGUAUCCUCCGCCUCCUGGAUUCAAGCAAUUCUCAUACCUCAGCCUCCCAAGUAGGUGUGAUUACAGAUGCACACCACCACACCUGGCUAAUUUUUGUUUAGCCAUGUUGUUUUGCCAUGUUGGCCAGGCUGGUCUCGAACUCCUGACCUCAGGUGAUCUGCUGGCCUCAGCCUCCCAAAGUGCUGGGAUUACAGGCAUGACCCACCAUACUAGAAUGAAAUGUCCUGAUUUUUAAACAUUAGCAACUACUUGAAACAUUUUAAACUACUGUGUUGAGCAAACAGAAAUUCUGAGGGCCAGAUAGGGCCCCAGUGAGCUGCCAGCUUUUGACCUCACCUUUGGGGUGAGUGAGCAUAUCUGCCAGCUGUUUUUAUGGGGACAGCUGAGAGCCCGGAGGACUGCUGGGAGGUGGGGUUGAAGGAGAUAUGUACCAAAGCAUCAAAAAAUUAGAAUUCCUUGUCUUUCUGCAUUGCUAGAAGAUGCCCUGCCAUCAUUUUAGGGCAACCCUUUGUUUUACAAAUGAGGGAGCCGAAGAUUUAAAAAGGCAGAGGUUUGUCCAAGGUCAUGCAGAGCUGGUUCCUGCACCAGGUCCAGACUCCAGAUGCCAGCUCCCAGCCCGCUCCACCACUCAAAAUACUGCAUCAAAACCAGGCCACGCUCUGUUGGGGGGACACCAAACCUGGCCCCAGCAGGAGCAUAAGAAACUUCCUGCGAGUUGGAAAAAAAUGCCUUUUUUUUUUUUUUUUUUUUUUUGAGACGCAGUCUCGCUCUGGAGUGCAGUGGUGCAAUCUCGGCCCACUGUGACCUCCACCUCCCAGGUUCAAGCUAUUCUCUUACCUCAACCUCCUGAGUAGCUGAGAUUACAGGCACCCACUACCACACCUGGCUCAUUUUUUUUUUGUAUUUUCAGUAGAGACAGGGUCUCACCAUGUUGGCCAGGCUGGUCUCAAACUCCUCACCUCAAAUGAUCCACCCACCUUGGCUCCCAAAGUGCUAGGAUUACAGGCGUGAGCCACUGUGCCUGGCCAGAAAUGCCCUUUCUGACCAGAGUCAAAGUUCCCCCAAUGCCUGGGUAGCCCAGCUUCCCCAUUGGCUCCUGAAAUCCACCCCUUUAGGUUUCCUUUCCCUGCUCAGAAGCUGUGCCAGAGGGGACAUUCCCUGGGAGGCUGAGGGUCACCACGAUACCAUGACAGAGUCUGGCAAGGUAUGGAAGGCACUCUCAGGCUAGCUGCCCCUUUGGGGGCCUCUUGGACCUCAGGAGCUCAAACCAGCACAAUUUUGGGGCCAAGGGACCUCAUGAGCCUCUCAGAGAGCUUGGAGUCUGCCCUGAUUUGCACAGAUGCAGGCCUGAGAGAGGAGGCCUGGCAGGAUAGGAAGAAACGGUUGACUCCUCCCAAGCUGGAGCCCACCCAGCAUGGGUUAACAUGCGCCUUCGUCCUCUCUCUCCUCAGCCCAUCCUCUAUUCCUAUUUCCGAAGCUCCUGCUCAUGGAGAGUUCGAAUUGGUAAGAGAUGUGCCUCCUCCAGGAUGAGUGCUGGAGUGGGGUGGACUGGGGCGGAGAAGCCCGGGUGCAAAGCUGGCUUGGGAUGGAAGGGGUGCUCUGUCAGAGAGGACCUCACCCCCAGCAACCAGCAUCCCCUGGCUCCUAGAACCCCCAUCCCUGCAUGGCAUCUCCACCCCGGAAACACAGGGUGAGGGUGGGAGGAAGGGGGUUGUUUUUUUCCUUGGGACUGACACUUCUCCCGACACUGCUCUCCAAAGCCCCUUGGCAACCAUGUUUAAAGCAGGGUCACAAAAUCCACAUGCCCCUGGUAACUGGCAGGGGAACAGCUGGCCUCCUUCAGUUCUUAUCUUAUUUGAACUGGCAAAGCAAACAGAACGGGCCAGCAUCAGCCUCAGAGGCUUCAGAAAAGCAGAAACAAGGGCCCUGUGGCUAGUCCUUGUUUGACCCUUCCCUCCCUUGGCUUAACACAGCCUUUGGCAAAGGUCAUAACCAAAGCAGCCUGUACUGAGGAAAAGCUCUGUGCUGAGUGCUUUUGUGUGCCUGAUUCCAUUUAAACCUCAGCAACCCUAGGAGGGAGGUACUAUUAUUACUGUCCCCAUUGUAUAGAGGAGGAAGCUGAGGCACAAAAAACUGAGGCAACAUUCAGUAACUUGCCCAAGAUCUUUCAGUUACUAAGAGGCAGAACUGGAAUUUGAACCAGGUAGUCUGGCUCCAGAGGCCCAUUAAGUUACUUGCCCAGGGCCACACAGUUAGCAAAUGACUGUGAUGAAAUUUGAACCCAAGAAGCUUGCCUCCAGAGUGUGGAGGCAAAGCCAUCCUCCGUGACCCCUCCUCCAUCCCAUAGUCACUUGGUAUUUGCUGGGAUCAGUAAGCAAGAGCACUGGGUGCCAGGAGAAACUUUCCUCCAAGAAGAUGAACCCAUCCCUGGGCACCAGUACCUCUGCCCUGGCUGAGCCAGAAGCCGGAGCAAUAUAGGUGCUGUCUGUAGGGCCUGUGUGCUUUGGCCUUCCUCCUCCAGGUGUCUCCUCCAGCCCCAAACACUGUCACUCCCCAGACUGGAGCUGACCAACGCUAGGAGGAGCCUGGUAUUGCCCAGGCUCUCUCCACACCAUGACAUGUCUGGUCCUCCUCCCCUCAUUCCUUUGCCCUUCCCUGAGAUUGGCCAUCACCAUACUUGAAUGCCCAAGUGUGUGUAAUACAUACAUGCAUGCACACGCACGCAGUCUUCUCCACUAGUGUUGACCCACCCAAAUUUUUUUUACCUUCAGCUUGCCAGGGGAAAUUAUCAAAAGGGAUGGAGAGGAAAUCUGGUGACUGGAGUCACAGCAAAUGCUCUGAGGCCACCAAAGAGCCUGGUGCCUGUCUGGAAUCUCUAGUAAACAGCCCUGAGAACAGAGAGAAUAGAUUGGAAGAGAUUCUUCUCCAACAGAACAAGAGUGCCAUCUGUCUGUGUGUGCUGUGUGUGGCCACCUGAGCCCCUUCCCUUGGCCCUUAGUUGCCUUCUUGAGGGAGUAAUUGCAUGUCUUCAACCAAGACACUGGUCACCACUGUUUAAGGCCCUGGGGGGGCAGAGGUAAACACAACACACCCUUGCUGUCCUCCAGGAGCCCACAGAGUGCCAGGGCAUACACCUUUAUCACCACCCAGGGGGGAUGAGGGCCCCAUUGGGGGGUCCAGAUCGUGAGGUCUCUAAGAGUUCAGGGGUGAGUGAGGCAGAGCAUCGUGCAUCUGGGGUAGGGAGCACGUGGUGACAAGGAAAGCUGAGAGAAGGGGAUAGUGCCACGGUGAGCCUUGACCACCCAGAAGUGUAGAGAAGCCUCCCCCUCUUUGGCCUUAAUGUCACCCUAGAAGGGCUCUUUCCUUUAAGAGUACGGCGAGAGGCUGUUCUUUGACUCCGCUAUGUGCGGUCUCUCCUAGCUCUGGCCUUGAAAGGCAUCGACUACGAGACGGUGCCCAUCAAUCUCAUAAAGGAUGGGGGCCAACAGUUCUCUAAGGACUUCCAGGCACUGAAUCCUAUGAAGCAGGUGCCAGCCCUGAAGAUUGAUGGAAUCACCAUUCACCAGUCAGUGAGUGCAGGGCCUGGGGGAGGGCCCUCAUGAGAGCAGUGCCCUGAAUGAGAGCACCUGACAUCUCUUCCUCGCCUGUGUACAGUCAAGGUGCCUAGCACAUAGGAGAGGCUCAAUACAAGACUCGUGGGGAGGGUGCGAGGUUAUUUAGGAAAAUAAGGGAAGAUUCAAGCACAUGGAGAACCAAGUUCUGCAUGAUAAGGUCCAAAAAGGCUUAUAGGGCUUGAGCUGAGCAGAAGCAGGGGGGAAGAGGUGUAGUGAUGGUGCUGGAAGAGGAGAAGGAGGAGUUUGCUGGCCCCGUCCCCUCUGGUCUAGGGGUCCUGGGCCCUCUCCCUGCCUCACUGCUCCCCUCUGGACAGCUGGCCAUCAUUGAGUAUCUAGAGGAGACGCGUCCCACUCCGCGACUUCUGCCUCAGGACCCAAAGAAGAGGGCCAGCGUGCGUAUGAUUUCUGACCUCAUCGCUGGUGGCAUCCAGCCCCUGCAGAACCUGUCUGUCCUGAAGCAAGUGCGAGAGGAGAUGCAGCUGACCUGGGCCCAGAACGCCAUCACUUCUGGCUUUAACGCCCUGGAGCAGAUCCUACAGAGCACAGCGGGCAUAUACUGUGUAGGAGACGAGGUGACCAUGGCUGAUCUGUGCUUGGUGCCUCAGGUGGCAAAUGCUGAAAGAUUCAAGGUGGAUCUCACCCCCUACCCUACCAUCAGCUCCAUCAACAAGAGGCUGCUGGUCUUGGAGGCCUUCCAGGUGUCUCACCCCUGCCGGCAGCCAGAUACACCCACUGAGCUGAGGGCCUAGCUCCCAAAUCCUGCCCCGUUGGCACAGGGCCACAGGAGCAGAAGCUGGGUGGGCUGAAGAGGCCUGGAAAUGAGAGUCUUAAUUGAGGAGAUGGGAGACUCGAACUCUAGCCCUGGAUCUGCCUUCCUGCUGAAACUUGUUCCACCUCAGUCCCCUCAUCUGUCACACGCAUGUGGGGUGGAGUAGGGAGAUGCGGGGAGCAGGGUGGGCAGGAAUAUUGUUAUCUAUGUGACGGGGCAGUCGUGAGGCUGAGAUGAGAAUGUGGAUUAAAAUGCCUGGCGUGCUCACCGUAACACC